UAAGUCAAAGUUGAUGUUUUUCUUCACGUAAACGAAACGUGCGUAAGUCGGUUUCUUCGUUUUCCGUUUACAGCCCCAGACAGAAAAGAGUUGAAGAAAUCAAGUAUUUUGACCGGAAAGGCUGGAAAUUUAGCUUUGUACGAGGAUGAAAUUCACAAACGACCAAAGAUUUCGACGCUUUUAGAGAGUUUGUCCAGAUACGAAGCUGUUGCAUCUCCGCAACAAGACGACGAUGAAGGAGAAGCGAAAGCGGCCACAACUACUCAGGCCACCAAGAUGGGUACACUUAUGGGUGUGUACCUACCAACCAUUCAGAACAUUUUUGGUGUUAUCUUGUUCAUCCGUUUAUCUUGGAUAGUUGGAAUAGCAGGAACAUUACAAGCUUUCCUCAUUGUCUUCAUUUGCUGC